UCCAGACUCCUACGGGAGGCAGCAGUGGGGGAUAUUGCACAAUGGGGGCAACCCUGAUGCAGCGACGCCGCGUGAGCGAUGGAGUACUUCGGUAUGUAAAGCUCUGUCAGCAGGGAAGAGAAUGACGGUACCUGACCAAGAAGCCCCGGCUAAAUACGUGCCAGCAGCCGCGGUAAUAUGUAUGGGGCAAGCGUUAUCCGGAUUUACUGGGUGUAAAGGGAGCGUAGACGGCAGAGCAAGUCUGAAGUGAAAGCCCGCGGCCCAACUGCGGGACUGCUUUGGAAACUGCCCGGCUAGAGUGCUGGAGAGGUAAGCGGAGUUCCUAGUGUAGCGGUGAAAUGCGUAGAUAUUAGGAGGAACACCAGUGGCGAAGGCGGCUUACUGGACAGUAACUGACGUUGAGGCUCGAAAGCGUGGGGAGCGAACAGGAUUAGAUACCCCGGUA
rnacentral:rRNA from 1 species